rnacentral:lncRNA from 1 species
CUCGUGACGUUGAAGCAAGAUGGCUCGGUUAGAGUCCAAUGAAAGUGUAAGAUUGAAAGUGGGUUUGUGAAGUUGAGCCAACAAUCACAUGGCAAGGCACAAAAAAAAGAGGAAAAAGAAAAAUCAUUAUAUGAAUUAUUUGACACUUGAGAAAAUAUUCAUUAUUUUCCUUCAUGUAAUUGCGGGGAUGUGGUUUUUUUUUUCGGGUUAAUGUGUUCUAUACUAGUUAGUCAUGUAUACAUAAACUUCAAUAGGGGGAAUAAAAGAAAAACGUGAAAACUAUUCAUUACUCCCUUUAUCCCAACCCA